GUCCCCGGCAGCAUGGUGAGAGGCCAGAAAAGCUGAUUUCUUUCCCUUAUCUAUCCUGGGAGGCUCAGAGAGCAAGAUCAGCCUUCCAGAGCGGCACCACGCUGGGCAGUGUGUGGGACUGCAGGAGUCAGCAGAGAUGUGUGUAUGUGUGAUGGAAUCCAGUUCCUCAGAUGUGCAAGGGAAAUGCUCUCCCACCAAACCACACCCCUGCCUUCAACACUAAUGCAGAGCUGUGUGUCCCUUCCAAGAGCUCAUUGCUGCUUUCCACAAAGCUGUCUACAAGGAAGCAUAUAAAAGAGACAGGGUCUCACUAAAUAGUUCUGGUUGUCCCUGUACCCACUAUGUAUAUCAGAAUGACUUCAAACUCACAGAGAUCCACCUGCUUCUGUCUCCUAAAAGGUAAAGCAGGUCUAUGCCUGCUUAUGGAGUGGUCUCAAGAAGCAAGAAGACUUCCUUCACAGGAUGUGAAGUUGUGCUGAUUCUGACACCUUGAUAGAAGUUAUGGUGGCCUGAGAAGAGGGAACCUUGAUUGAGAAUAAGACCUCCUAUCAGAUUGGUCUAUAGACAAGCCCAUGGGACAUUUUCUUGAGUCAUAAUUGAGGUAGAAGUGCUCUGAUAACUGUGGGCAGUGUCACCAUUGGGCAAGUGGUCAUGGGUUGUGAAGGUAAACUGAAAAAGCUAUGGGGUGAGGGGUGCAAAUCAGUAAGUGAAAUUCUUCCAUGGCCUCUGUUUCAGUUCAUGCUUCUAGGUCCCUGCUUUGAGCUCCCUGUCUUCCCUCUGUGAUGAAUUGCUACCUAGAUACAUGAACUGAAAGAAGCCCUUUCCUUUGCCAAUUAGAUUUUGGUCUUUAUUUCUUUUCAGAGCAACAGGCACCAAAAACGAUAGAAGUAAUGUUAGUAUAGCUUUGGUUUUCUUCAACUGACCUGGAAAAGGAAAACAUAAAGAGCUGAAGGUUGUGUUUGUUCAGUUCUCACAUAUAAACUGAGCGGUGGACUUACUCUUAAACAGCUACCUUCCUGAAAGAAUACAAAGGUAUGGAAGGGGCUUUGUGGGGAGGGAAACAGAUGAGAACAAACUGAUGAAACCCAUUACUCUGUUUACAAACUUAAGAAAUUCAUUAAAAUAUGAAAUCAACUAAAUACAGUCGAGAAAACCAGUAUGAAGGUACUCAUCUGAGUCACUUUUAAAAUUUCUUUGAUUAUUUAGCCCUGGCCUAAAGACAGAGAACAAGGGUCCACAUUUUUAUUGCUUUAGCCAUAUAGCUUAAUUUGCUGGCAGAAACACAAGUUUGCCUUGGAAUAGUAGAUAUAUAUAGUUUUACGACAUCCUACCUCUUAUAUCCUAUAUGAUUAUGAGCUCUAUGGACAGACAGCAAGAGACGAGGUUUCCCUAUAGAGUUUCCUAAACUGACUGGCUGAAGCCCCUGCUUCUCUAUUUCUCAUCAGUUCCCAGCCUGCUGGGGCUUGGGACCCAGCCUUUCAAUUUUUCAAGAAUAGGAAAACAUUUGUUGCCUGUUGCAAGCUUUGAUUUUAUUGAACAGAACAAAACAAGAGUUAGUGUGAGCCAAUGGCCAGGGUAGCCAAGUCUCUAGAGACACAUAUGUUUCUGGGAGAAGGUAGCUGCUCUAGGAAGCAGUGAGUUCACACAGCAUCUAGAGUGGAUGGAACAUGGGGAAAAAGAUAAGCAGAUGAAUAGGGAGUGUGAUAGUUUGAAUGAGAGUGGCCCACAUAGGGUUAUGCACUUGAAUACUUGGUCCCAAGUUGGAGGAAUUAUUUUGGAAGUAUUAACAGGUGUGGCAUUCAGAAGCCCACUCUAUUCCUAGUUAGCUCUCUCUGCUUCAGUUUUGUGGAUCAAGAUGUAAGCUCUUGGCUUCUGCUCUAGGGCUGUGUAUGCCUGUGGGUUUCUAUGCUCCCUACCAUAGUGGUCAUGGACUCACCUUCUAAAACUGUAAGCUCCAAUAAACUCUACUUCU
rnacentral:lncRNA from 1 species